AUUGAACGCUGGCGGCAGGCCUAACACAUGCAAGUCGAGCGGAUGAAGGGAGCUUUCUCCUGGAUUCAGCUGCGGACGGGUGAGUAAUGCCUAGGAAUCUGCCUGGUAUUGGGGGAUAACGUCCGUAAACGGGCGCUAAUACCGCAUACGUCCUGAGGGAGAAAGUGGGGGAUCUUCGGACCUCACGCUAUCAGAUGAGCCUAGUUCGGAUUAGCUAGUUGGUUUGGUAAAGGCCUACCAAGGCGACGAUCCGUAACUGGUCUGAGAGGAUGAUCAGUCACACUGGAACUGAGACACGGUCCAGACUCCUACGGGAGGCAGCAGUGGGGAAUAUUGGACAAUGGGCGAAAGCCUGAUCCAGCCAUGCCGCGUGUGUGAAGAAGGUCUUCGGAUUGUAAAGCACUUUAAGUUGGGAGGAAGGGCAGUAAGUUAAUACCUUGCUGUUUUGACGUUACCAAAAGAAUAAGCACCGGCUAACUUCGUG
rnacentral:rRNA from 1 species